rnacentral:rRNA from 1 species
GAUGAACGCUGGCGGCGUGCCUAAUACAUGCAAGUCGAGCGAACAGACGAGGAGCUUGCUCCUCUGACGUUAGCGGCGGACGGGUGAGUAACACGUGGAUAACCUACCUAUAAGACUGGGAUAACUUCGGGAAACCGGAGCUAAUACCGGAUAAUAUAUUGAACCGCAUGGUUCAAUAGUGAAAGACGGUUUUGCUGUCACUUAUAGAUGGAUCCGCGCCGCAUUAGCUAGUUGGUAAGGUAACGGCUUACCAAGGCGACGAUGCGUAGCCGACCUGAGAGUGUUGUCAGCCACACUUGAACUGAGACACGGUCCAAACUCCUACGGGAGGCAGCAGUAGGGAAUCUGCCGCAAUGGGCGAAAGCCUGACGGAGCAACGCCGCGUGAGUGAUGAAGGUCUUCGGAUCGUAAAACUCUGUUAGUAGGGAAGAACAAAUGUGUAAGUAACUAUGCACGUCUUGACGGUACCUAAUCAGAAAGCCACGGCUAACUACGUG